UACAGAGGGGCAAGCGUUGUUCGGAAUUACUGGGCGUAAAGGGCGCGUAGGCGGCCUUCUAAGUCGAACGUGAAAUCCCCGGGCUCAACCCGGGAACUGCGUCCGAGACUGAGAGGCUCGAAUCCGGGAGAGGGAUGUGGAAUUCCAGGUGUAGCGGUGAAAUGCGUAGAUAUCUGGAGGAACAUCGGGUGGCGAAGGCGGCAUCCUGGACCGGUAUUGACGCUGAGGCGCGAAAGCCAGGGGA
rnacentral:rRNA from 1 species